UGGGAGCUGCAAGCUUCACGUGCUCAACUUUGGCAGAGAACUUUGGCAAAGUUAUCUGUGGUACCCAUGAGCUACUGUUGCGUGUGGGAAGUGGGUGAUUGAACAGUAAGAUUCAUGUGCUUUCUACUUCACCAGAAUGCCCAUAAUUUCCGCAAAGCUGAGUGUGCGUGUGACAGGUGCUGACAAGGCUGGAAAAGUAGGUGCCUCUUCGAUUUCUGAGAUCGGCCCUCAUGGUCUCUGAGCAGCCCAGCUUUUGAGAAAGCAAGUGCCUCUUCGAUUUCUGAGAUCGGCCUUCGUGGUCUUUGAGCAUCCCAACUUUUGAGAAAGAAAACGCCUCUUCGAUUUCUGAGAUCAACCCUCGUGGUCUCUGAGAGUAAAGGUUGGACAAGUUUGCUAGUCUACCUUGCCAUGAAGCACAGAGGUUGACACACAGGGAAUUUCCAAUUAUCCAGCAAUGGUACUGUUCCUUUACCCUUAUGGGUAAUAAUAUGGUAGCUAGACCUUCAAAAUUUAUGUGUCUAAACUUUGUUAGUGCUGUUUCUUUGCUAUUCUUUUACCCUUCUUGGUCAGAACGAUGUAGUGGGAGCUGCAAGCUUCACGUGCUCAACUUUGGCAGAGAACUUUGGCAAAGUUAUCUGUGGUACCCAUGCGCUACUGUUGCGUGUGGGAAGUGGGUGAUUGAACAGUAAGAUUCAUGUGCUUUCUACUUCACCAGAAGUCUUCGACAAAAUGCCCAUAAUUUCCACAAAGCUGAGUGUGCGUGUAAUAGGUGCUGACAAGGCUGGAAAAGUAGGUGCCUCUUCGAUUUCUGAGAUCGGCCCUCGUGGUCUCUGAGCAGCCCAUCUUUUGAGAAAGCAAGCGUCUCUUUGAUUUCUGAGAUCGGCCUUCGUGGUCUUUGAACAGCCCAGCUUUUGAGAAAGCAAACUUCUCUUCGAUUUCUGAGAUCAACCCUCGUGGUCUCUGAGCAGCUCAGCUUUUGAGAAAGCAAACGCCUCUUCGAUUUUUGAGCAGACGCCUCUUCGAUUUCUGAAGCUCCGUCGAGUGCAGAUUUUUAUAGGGGCUGACAUUAAGUUCCAAAGCACACUUGAAUCUCCACCAGUAGAAGCUCCAUUCUUGCACUUCUAAGAUCUUGAUUUGUCCGACCUCUUCUCUCUUCAACACCUUUGAAAAUGUCUAGCCCCUCCGACCGUCGUUUUGACUUGAACCUUGUUGAAGAGGCAGCCCCGCCUUCUCCAGACAACAUAUGGCGCCCAUCCUUCGUCUCCCC
rnacentral:lncRNA from 1 species